rnacentral:rRNA from 1 species
GACGAACGCUGGCGGCGUGCUUAACACAUGCAAGUCGAACGGAAAGACCCGGCGUUUGUGGGGUUCUCGAUUGGCGAACGGGGGAGUGACACGUGAGUAACCUGCCCUUGACUGUGUGAUAACAUCACGAAACUGGGGCGAAUACCGGAUAUGAGCUCCUGCUGCGUGUGGUUGGUUGGAGAGUUUCGGCGGUUGUGGAUGGACUCGCUGGUUAUCAGCUGGUUGGUGUGGUAGUUGCUUACCAAGCUUUUGACGGCUAGGCGGCAUGAGAGGGUUACCGGCGACAUUGGGACUGCGAGACGGAGCAGACUCCAACGGGAGGCAGCAGUGGGGAAUAUUGCACAAUGGGCGGACGCCUGAUGAAGAAACGCUGCGUGCGGAAUGACGGCCUUCGGGUUGUAAACAGCUUUCGAAUGAGACGAAGCGUGAGUGACGGUAAUGGGUAAAGAAGCCCCGGCUAACUACGUG